CAGUAGCCGCGGGAAUACAGAGGGUGCAAGCGUUAAUCGGAUUUACUGGGCGUAAAGGGCGCGUAGGUGGUUAUUUAAGUGAGAUGUGAAAGCCCCGGGCUUAACCUGGGAACUGCAUCUUAUACUGGGUAACUGGAGUGCAGUAGAGGGUAGUGGAAUUUCCGGUGUAGCGGUGAAAUGCGUAGAUAUCGGAAGGAACACCAGUGGCGAAGGCGGCUACCUGGACUGAGACUGACACUGAGGCGCGAGAGCGUGGGGAGCAAACAGGAUUAGAUACCCCUGUAGUCCCUGUCUCUUAUAC
rnacentral:rRNA from 1 species